rnacentral:misc_RNA from 1 species
CCAAGAGCCCACCGGAGAACCUGGUGCAAACGAUCAGACAGAUUGAUGGGUGCAGACCCUUUGAAUGCAGGCCUUAAAGGCAUGCAGUAAAUUGAUCUCCAUCCUCGGCAGUGCAUCUUAAAGCCAGUUAAGAUAUCCUCAGUAAUUGACCCAUAUAUCCAACCAAUCUCUUUUCCCCAUUCAGUCUUCUCUUCAUAGCCGCAGCUAAUAACAUGUAUUGCUUCCUUGAUGAGUAUCGAAGGGUUAACAGAUUCAGGUACUCCUCCAUUUGGCAUUAGUGUAGACUCGAUGAAGACAGAUGAUAAGCCAAAAGUUUUCUCGAAGCUCAUCUGGGAGAUCAGCAUUGAUCUCUCAUACUCAUCAUAAUUGUCAAUCUCUGUAAGAUUGAAGAUGGCAGCAUUCAGGUCCUCUCGUUUUGCAUCUCGAUAAACCUCAGCCGGAUCUUUUGCAGGCUUCUUCUUAGAGAGGCAGCAACAAGAGAAGCAUGACGAGGAUGGGGAACUCUUGGGUAAGCUAGGCAUAGAAGGAGGCCCAUAGCCAUAAAGUGCUUGCCUAUUGAAAACACAACCUGUUCCCACAUAUACUGGUCCUUGAAUGCCAUCAAGUCCUUUCAUGUUAACAUCAAAGAAAACCACAUUUCUGUUGGCAUAUCGAUCACUCUUAUCUAUGCCAUCAAAUCUCUGAGGGAACUGCACGAAGCAUACAUCUCGACCAACUUGUGGGUCCAUGAGGAUGCACAUUGCCUCUCUAACUGCCUUGCUAUUGUUAACAUAGUGGUCACAAUCGAGAUUGAGGAUGUAAGGAGCAUUUGUGAGAACUGCUGACACUCUUACCAAUGCAUUUUCAGCACCGGCCUUUUUGUGGUGCUGGUAGCCAGGUCUCUUCUCUCUGGAGACAUAAACCAGUCGGGGAAGUUCAUUUCCCUCCACAUCACAAGCUCCAGUGUUUCCAAGGAAGACCUGAAUCAUGCCAGGGUGAUCACGUGGGUUAUUUCCAGGCCAAGGUGUUCCAUCCUGCAUAGUCCACCCUUCCUCAGGCAUUUUCUGAGCCUUUGCUACUAAGGCAUUAAUUCGAACUUUGUAUUCUUCAUAAUCUCUUUUCAUUGCUCUACGUUCCUUCACAAAAGAAGGCUGCACCUUAUCUUUCAAGUAAUCAAUCUUCUGUGAGAAAUAAAACUCAGGAGCCCUUGGUUCAAUUGAGAAUUUUUUACAGAAUGGAACCCACUUCCUCGCAAAGUCAGCUGUCUCUACUAAGGAUUCAAAUGUAAGCAUGGAAGCACCAUCAUCAGAUACAUAGCAGGAGACUUUAUCCAUGGGGUAGUCCAAAGCAAGAAUGGAAAGAACUGUAUUGGCAGUGAUUAAUGGAGGUUCUUUCAAUGGAUCAACUGUACUCACGAAGAAGUCCACCGCAGCAAGUUGAUUAGGCUCACCCUCCCUUUCAUACCUUGCAGAGAGCCUGUCAAUGUAUGUUUCCCUAUUGACAGGACACCACUUUGGGAACUGAUCCAACACCCAGGAAAAUGCAAACCAAAUCUCACAUAUGACAGAAGUAAUCCAAAGACCAAAAGCACUAUCUACAGGAUUUGUUAUUCUGUAAUGGAAGAAAAGCCCAAGAAUGAUCAACCGCAUAAUUAUCACAGUUCGGUAUGGUGUGAGUUUGUUCCGUGGAAGUGGAAAGACAAUUGAAAGUGGCUCCGCAGCAUCCGCAGACCUAAACAAGACAUCCUUAUAUAUGUAACAUCAUCGUUCAUAAAAGGACAUGGCAAGUGAAAUUGAAUCAUCAAAUAAAGACAUUUGAACCCAUCACAAUUCACAAAUAUAUGGAGCUGUUCAAAUUUUCUAUGGAAAUUCAAUGGACUAAUAACUGCUCUGUGUAUACAACUCUCCUAAAAAAUCUCCAUGUGUGGUGACAAAAUGAAAGAAAUUCAAAAUUAAAUGAGCAUAUAUAUCUAAAACAUGCAGGAAAGUGAUUUUUCCCCCUUUUGCUUUUCUUAGAUGAUGUUGUUGGGAUAUCAGAAUCGAUCUAGUAAAAAUUUGACGCAUCGAGAAUCAUCAAGUCUUCAAUGCUUAAGUAAUAAGUUCAUCACUUUUGAUUUACACAUUAAUCUAGUUAAAUGUCCAACAAAACAUCAACGUUCAGCCAUUGAGAAAGUGACUGACAAUACUUUCAACAAGAUUAAAGUGAAAUUUGUCCUUGAAUAAUCCUUUUGAUAUUGGUUAAAAAUAUUCACUGUGUUUCUUUCUGUACACUCUAUCAAAUCAUCUAAGGUUGUGUUUGGUCGGAAUUUGAAAUAUGAUGAUUUGGAUUUGGCUUUUCUUUGUACUUACGGUUUCUCCUCCAUCUGCUGCUCAGGUGGAAUUUCAGCUGGCUCCUUUUCAGGCUUAGGAGUAUUUUUUUUCUUCUUGUUCUUUUUAUCUUUCCAACUCUCCACUCGAUUUUUCCAAAUUGGAUUCCCCGAUUCAUCAUUCAAUUCACUAUCCACUGUAGACACACUACUGAUAUGUCUUGCAUGAAUACCUACAUCCUGAGAAUUGUUGAGGUGAGAUGCCAUUGUGGAUUGAUUACCCGGUGCCUUUGCUUCACCAUCAUCCAGCAAGUUCUCAUUAUAGGGGGAGCCACACCGCAAGCAAACUUUCCGACCUUCCUUGAUCUCGUACUCGAAACAAGACUUGCAUAUGGGAAAGUUACACUCAUGGCAAGCCACAAAAAGCUCACCAUUUGCAUUUUGCCCCACCUGUUCACCGCAGGUGUGGCAUACUGGAACCCCAGAAUCCAUCAUCUUGCUGAUCAGUUACACCUGUCCUCAGGAACCCAAAAUCCUUUCAAGGGAUAUCUCCCAACUCUCAAUCUUCCCCUGUCUUGGCCUUGGCCUUGUUUUUUAUAUGACUCUAAACAAAGCUAGGGUAUUUUGGUAUCUUAGAGAAGGUGUUGCUGGCAUUUUUGUAAUGGUGAAAAAGAGGUGAGACUGGUGGUUGGUG